UCAGUUUUCGUCCUUUCAUGCUCUCCUGGCAGUUCUCGUGAAGAAGAACACGACAAUCGCAUGGCCUGCAGCAGUAUCACGAGAAUCAAGCGGCGAGGGAUGGUUUCAGUCCUCCCAUGCCUCCUCACGCUUCUCGUGAAACUUGAAAGAAAAUGCAAAUACCACAUGACAGUUAAUAUCCUGCUCUGUGUAGUAGUCCCGUACUUUACCGGAUUUAGCUCAAUCUCCAUAGCUUGAGAAGUUCAAUGAAUAUAUAGUGCGGAACUUCCAUUUUAUAGCAUUUUAGUGAAAACCGUCUGUUUUCAUCGAACUUUAACUCAUUUGAUUUGCUGCUUUCUGCUUUGAUAUGGUCAUUAGUGUGCAUGAGUCAGGAUUUAGCAACAGAAAGACAAGCCAUAUAUCAUGACCGGAUGAAACUUAUCGCAUGAUCUGUUUUCGUGGGAAAGGCAACAAAGAUCCGG
rnacentral:lncRNA from 1 species